rnacentral:tRNA from 1 species
CCUGGUGGCUCAGAGGUUAAAGAGUCUGCCUGCAGUGCAGAUAGACCUGGGUUCGAUCCCAGGGUCAGGA